rnacentral:rRNA from 1 species
CCCGCACAAGCGGCGGAGCAUGCGGAUUAAUCGAUGCAACGCGAAGAACCUUACCAAGGCUUGACAUACACCGGUAACGCCCAGAGAUGGGUGCCCCUUUGUGGUCGGUGGACAGGUGGUGCAUGGUUGUCGUCAGCUCGUGUCGUGAGAUGUUGGGUUAAGUCCCGCAACGAGCGCAACCCUCGUCCUAUGUUGCCAGCGGGUCAUGCCGGGGACUCAUGGGAGACUGCCGGGGUCAACUCGGAGGAAGGUGGGAUGACGUCAAAUCAUCAUGCCCCUUAUGUCUUGGGCUUCACGCAUGCUACAAUGGCCGGUACAAAGGGCUGCGAUACCGCGAGGUGGAGCGAAUCCCAGAAAGCCGGUCUCAGUUCGGAUUGGGGUCUGCAACUCGACCCCAUGAAGUCGGAGUCGCUAGUAAUCGCAGAUCAGCAACGCUGCGGUGAAUACGUUCCCGGGCCUU